CGCCUUGAGAUCACCAUCAAAACACACAUAAUCCUUGCUUUCUUUCUUUCACCCAAUAUUUCUAAGGAUCUAGAUAUAAAAUGUUACCCUAAACUCUCCAAGAUUUAGUUUUAUAAUGCCAAAAACUAGACUUAGAUACAGGAUUGGGGUCUACCUUGAUGAUGGUUUCAAAUGCUUGGCCUUUACCUCUUCUUCUUCUCCUCCUCCUCCAAAAAACUAGUCUCAGAUCACCACUGAGAGAGAGAGCAAAUUAAUGGGGGAAAGAGAGGC
rnacentral:lncRNA from 1 species